rnacentral:ribozyme from 1 species
GGAAUAAAUCCCUAUUCCUAUCUCCUCGUGGUACUGGCCAGGGUACGAGUAACCUUAGGGAAGAUCUGGUAACUAACCCUGGUGAGAACUUUGGUCAAAUGCUGACAGGGAAGG